GUAGGUGGCAAGCGUUGUCCGGAAUUAUUGGGCGUAAAGCGCGCGCAGGCGGUUCUUUAAGUCUGAUGUGAAAGCCCACGGCUCAACCGUGGAGGGUCAUUGGAAACGGGAGAACUUGAGUACAGAAGAGGAAAGCGGAAUUCCACGUGUAGCGGUGAAAUGCGUAGAGAUGUGGAGGAACACCAGUGGCGAAGGCGGCUUUCUGGUCUGUAACUGACGCUGAGGCGCGAAAGCGUGGGGAGCAAACAGGGAUUAGAUACCCUGGUAGUCCACGCCGUAAACGAUGAGUGCUAAGUGUUAGGGGGGUUUCCGCCCCCUUAGUGCUGCAGCUAACGCAUUAAGCACUCCGCCUGGGGAGUACGGCCGCAAGGCUG
rnacentral:rRNA from 1 species